UACGUAGGGGGCUAGCGUUGUUCGGAAUUACUGGGCGUAAAGCGUACGUAGGCGGCACGGCAAGUCGGGAGUGAAAGCCCGGGGCUCAACCCCGGAGGGUCUUCCGAAACUGCCGAGCUAGAGUGCGGAAGAGGCAACCGGAAUUCCCAGUGUAGCGGUGAAAUGCGUAGAUAUUGGGAAGAACACCAGAGGCGAAGGCGGGUUGCUGGGCCGACACUGACGCUGAGGCGCGAAAGCCAGGGGAGCAAACGGG
rnacentral:rRNA from 1 species